GCUUACUCGAUCUUAGUAUUUGUAAAUUUUUUUGAAGUUUACCCAAUUCGCAUUGCUGAUUGGAAUUUAUUUAUUUAUUUUUUAACCUCGGUAUUUUAGUUAAUCAAUGCUUCAUGUUAGGUAUGUCCCAUUGACACCCACCCUUAAUGAAAUUGAUCUCUUCUGGUACAGAAAAUGAAAUGAUCUUGAAAUCUGGUUUUUACUUAUGUUUGAUUUGACUUAUAAGGAGUAGAAACUUGAUUUGGUUUAGGCAUUAACACUUGGGUCAAAUAUGUAUUGUUUAAGCAAAACUAGUGCAGUUGUCAAGACUUAUGUAGAGCCAUGUUAAGGAACUGUUUGACUAGUGAUCUUAUUAUAUAUAUAGUUGAAAAGAAGGUGAUUGAAAUUUUUAGUUACUUAAGUAAGAUCUCACUUGAAUCACUUUUUAUUAUAAAUGAUUUUCUUGCACACAUAACAAUUCAUAAUGUGACAUUGACUAUUGCUUCUGGACAUCUCAGGCUAUUGAAGAUUUGACUAAGGCUUUAGAGUUUGAAACCAACUCAGCAGAUAUUUUACAUGAGAGAGUGUUGCAGCAGAGCCUAAUUUGAAGGAGUCGACUGCAAGGAAAAAAAUUUAUGACAGAUGUGAUGAAACUGUUAGAAUUCCAAUGGUGGGAAAAUACACAGGCCUUUCAGAUGCAUAUCUUUCUGUUCUGAAGGUAACUUACUCCUAAAUUAGUAACUGAACCCUUCUAUUUUUUACAUAAUAAUUUCCUCCUUUUGGAUUCUCUACAACUUCUUUUUUAUUCAAUAUGCAUACUGAAAUAUAAAGAGGUGAUUACUGAUCUAUCUACUGCAUUACUUAUGUUAGUUGACCUUUUGGUUUUGGUUUUGCUUUUAUGCAACCCUCUGACGAUUGAUUAAAAUAUAUUGCUGCAGGA
rnacentral:sRNA from 1 species